ACGUCUUGAAAUGCUUUUUCUUGGAAUGUUUCCUAUAUGAAGUUAGUCGCAAUACCAUGAGAAGAUCAGGUGUAGGUGCUCUGCUUGAUGGCUCCAGGUCCUGGGCAACAGCUAGUAUUAACUGCCAGCUGUGUGCAUGAACAAUCUUGGACAUCCAAUCCAGCUGCACCUUUAGAUAACUACAAUGCCAGCUUCCAUCUGUCACCACAUGAAAAACCCUAAGCUAGAAGGAUCCUGCAGAGCCCAGUCAACCCACAGAACUAAUAUUUAAAAAAACAAUCCAUGGGACAGUCUAACACAACAAAGGGAAUUAUUCAUCAAGAAGAGGCCCUUUAACAGGGUAUUUAAAGUGUCCAGGUACUUACAAUAACAAGUUGGACUGAACACAUGUACCUCAGGAAUUAAGAAUUUUUCCUAAAAGAAGG